UCUCUGAUAGCUCAAUUAGGUAGAGCAAUUGACUGUUAAUCAAUUGGUUGCUAGUUCAAAUCUGGCUCAGAGAG
rnacentral:tRNA from 1 species